GGCCUCCAGGCACAUGUUGACCUCGUCCACGUUGAGGCCCUGCAGGCUGGCCUGGCACUGCUUGACGCUGGUCACGGACUGGACCGAGCCUCCCAGUUUCACCUGGAUUCAAAGAAAAAGCCUGUGGGUAACACAGAUGACACCCCUUCAUUCUCACACAAGCAAACGUCCUUCAUCCGGCUCAGGUCGGUUAUGUGUGAUGAGGAAACAGCAGAGUGGGGUGAGAGGUGGAGUGAUACAUCCGCAACCUCAGAGCUGCUCUACCAUUAGACGAUUACACUGCGUCACCCGCCCGUGCUGCCUCAGAGGCCCUCUCACUUUACAAGCGUCAAUAUAAAUCAUGCAGUAUUAUAUUUUGAUCAUGAAUAUAAUGCAAUCAUUGGGAUGGUGGGUUUCCCUAUUGGCUAAUUACAGUGGUACCUCUACUUACGAACUUAAUUGGAUAGAAGCAAAGUUUUCCCUAGGAAUCAGUGUAAGAGCAAAUAAUGCGUGCUGGACUAUCCCAAAGGUCACACUUUUUUUUCCCUAUUACUUUGUGUAAAACACACAGAAAACCAAAACAGCAGUUUUAUUUUUGCUUUUUCAAACCUUUAUAACAAAAACUAAAUGCCACUUUAUUCUUGACCUCCUGACUUUGCUUAGGGAAGUUGAAAUAUGUUCUUAUUUUCUACACUUGCUAAA